UGAUCCGCCCUCAAUCCCCUUCGGGGUGAGAAGGGCGGAAUAUACGGACAAAGCAUGAGGAAGAACGUAUCUGAUUUUAUGUUUGAAAUUUAUAUUUUGUAAUUUAUAAUGUAUUUUAAUAGUUUUAACUGUUUUAUGCACUGUUUUAUAUUGAUUUGUAUGGGCAUCGAAUUGUUGCCAUUAUUGUAAGCUGCCCUGAGUCCCUUCGGGUGAGAAGGGCGGGAUAUAAAUGUGAGAAAUAAAUAAAUAAAAUAAUAAAUAAAUACUGUAAAUAAAUAAAUAAACUUUCACACUUGCCUCAGGCAGACAAGAAUUCUUUCUCCCACUCUGGACAUUCCACAAAUAUAUAAAACCCAAUUACCUGGUUUCCAACACGCCUCACAACCUCUGAGGAUGCCUGCCAUAGAUGUGGGCGAAACGUCAGGAGAGAAUGCUUCUGGAACAUGGCCAUACAGCCCGGAAAACUCACAGCAACCCAGUCAUUCUGGCCAUGAAAGCCUUUGAUGUUUUCACAUGUGGUUCUGAUUUCUUUUUUCCUUGCAGGCUUCCUCACCAACGCUUCCGACCCACCAUGGCGAAGGACGAUGGGUGCUGCAACCUGUGUGCCACCUGCUUGCUGUGUUUCUACAGCUGUCGCUGGAGGCGCAGCGGGAAGGGCCUGGCCACCAGCAAAGGCUCUUCUCUCAGGGACGCUCACAUCAUGGGCUUGGCUGUCUUUGCGAUCCACUUGAACGAAGCCAAAGCGUCCAUCCCAGCCAUCGACCUCUGCUCUUCGCUGGACCCUUCCUGUGCUUCCACGAGAGGCCUUUCUGUAUCCGAACUCUGGGAUUACUUUUUGGAUUGCCAGGCAGGACAGUCUGCCACCUUCUGCAUGAAGUUUUGUGUUGUGGCACUUUCUUACUUUCUCUGCAAGUUUGGCUCCCUUCCCCAUGACUCCUUAUGCUCCGUGCUUCAUCCUGGUUUUGUGAAAAAGCUUCAGUACGUCGUGCCCCUUCUUUGCUCGGAAGCCCGAAAUACAAGCUGGGAAGGCAGCAUGGAUGAUGACCUUCCAUGGAAAACAUUAUCCCGCCCCAGCUUCUGCUACUCAAAAGCUGCCUUGUGCUUAUGGAAGCAUCCCCUUUUCAAAGAACUAUUGUGGGAAAAAGCCUUCCAGCUGACUCUCCAAGAAUGGCUUCUGAUGGAACUGGCAGUCUGUCCCGACGAAGACGUUCUUUCUGCCGUUGAGAGGCAGGACUUCCAUUACUGGGCUCUGUACCAGCACUUUCUUCCUCUGUCUGUCGCUGCUGGCGGCUGCGAGGGAGACCUAAGAGAGGCCUGCGCCGUUCUCCUUGACGCCGUCUUGGAUUUCGGACAGAGGGGCUCAGUGAUACACACAUCAAGGUCUGAGUUGGGAAAGUGUAACCAUCCAAAUAAUCCCAAACGUUCCACAUUCCAGAGGAGAGGGAACCCCGAUAUCUACGCCAGAUUGCAGGAGAUGCUGCUGGAGCUGGAGCUGGAGCGCAGGAGAGCCUGGCCUGUGUCCGGUGGCGGCAAAGAGGAGCUCCUCUUGUUCCGGGUUUUCCAGAAGAGGCUCAAAGGGUUGAAGAGCGGGGAAGAAAUGCACCGGCAGCAAGAACUGUUCCUUCAAACCAGGCAGGACACAGCAUUGUCAAAUCUAUAUAUAUAAAAGAGUGAUGGCAUCACGGCGAUGGACAAAACAACAAAUCUACAGCCCCCCCAAACUCGAAAAUUGGCAACGCAAUCCAUCAUCCCCGCCUCCAGUAAGAUAUAACAAAAUUUCACUACAAGCACAAUCACAGGGCCAACAAAAGCCCAAAAACCGCAACAGCCAAUCAGGGCCUGCGAACUCCCCCCCCCCCCCCCCGCGCCCGCGCGCCCGCGCGCCCGCACACACACACACAGAACACUCACCCUCUCUCCCCGCCUCCAUCGCCCCAUGGCGAGAAAGAAGCCGGAGCUUCACCGAACUCAAACCAACCCAUAAUAAGUUGCAAAAUACGGCAAAGAAGCGGGAGAGAGGAGGGCGGCAUGGAGCCCCGGAGUCUUUCUCCUCUCGCCUCACUUCCAACAGACCCCUGAGAAUGCUUGCCACGAGAGAAUACUACUUGGAGUCCUAACCCAUACGGCCGAAAAACUCACACAAUGCUGCUGCUACUUCUUAAAGGGACAGGCGUCCUAUUUCUUCCCAUGAGGCUGUGGAGUGUAGAGUCCCCUCUGGGGGGCAGGGCGCGGGCCCAGAUGGACAGGACCUUGUGGCUGUAACGGCUCAGCCAGCCGAGUUCGGCCCGGCACUCCACCUCAAAGGCCAGGAAGGUGGCCUCGUCCGACAGUGACACUGCCUCCAUUGAGAAGCCAGAUGCAGAAGGAGGAGAAGGAGAAGCAACUGCCAUGCCUCCCCCCCAGGCCCCGUCAAAGGCAGGCUUGUGAUGAAAGAAGAACCGAAGAGGAGGACGAAGAAAAGGAGGGCACCAUGUCAUGGAACCCAGUUACAGGGCUUUGGUAAUUCAGCCCUGCAACUGGGAGUCAUAACAUAAACAAUCCCAGGAGCACCUGGCAGAAGAAGAUAGAAUAUGCCUGGGAACUUGGGGCCGAAAGUAUAAACAAUUAUAAUUGGUCUAGUGUGUGAAAAUAGUAAAGUAGUAAUGUGAUAUUGUGGGGUGGGACUUGAUGAUGAUAUUUACGUGUGGUGUUACGUAGCAUCAAAAGUUAUAAAAAUAGUUGUAUGUAAACAUUGGGUCAUUCCUGACUUUUCCAAAGUCAUGUGUUCUUCAAUAAAGAUUGGAUUUGAGAGCAGCCAUCUCUGAUCUGCGUUCAGACUGAUCCUUUGAAGUGAGCAGGACAUAUAUAUAUAUAUAUAUGGAUGUGCAUGUGGGUCUGGGUGUGUGUAUGUGUGUGGCUGGAAUUCUACAUUCAAAAUAUCCCUUUUCCAACUUCCAAAUUAUUUUUGUCUAAAUUAACAAUCACAGCCAGCUAACAACUCCAAACAAAGGAUUCCCCCCAGGCAGGAAGCAGCCAGGCAGGUUAUUAUAUAUGUAUAUAUAUAUAUAUAUAUAUGGAUGUGCAUGUGGGUCUGGGUGUGUGUAUGUGUGUGGCUGGAAUUCUACAUUCAAAAUAUCCCUUUUCCAACUUCCAAAUUAUUUUUGUCUAAAUUAACAAUCACAGCCAGCUAACAACUCCAAACAAAGGAUUCCCCCCAGGCAGGAAGCAGCCAGGCAGGUUAUAUAUGCGUGUGGGUCUGUGUAUGUGUAUGUAUGUGGCUGGAAUUCCACAUUCAAAAUAUCCCUUUUCCAAUUUCAAUAUUAUAUUUAUCUAAAUUAACAUUCACAGCCAGCUAACAACUCCAAAGAAAGGAUUCCCCCCAGGCAGGAAGCAGCCAGGCAGGUUAUUAUAUAUGUAUAUAUAUAUAUGGAUGUGCAUGUGGGUCUGGGUGUGUGUAUGUGUGUGGCUGGAAUUCUACAUUCAAAAUGUCCCUUUUCCAACUUCCAAAUUAUUUUUGUCUACAUUACCAAUCACAGCCACCUAACAACUCCAAACAAAGGAUUCCCCCCCAGGCAGGAAGCAGCCAGGCAGGUUAUUAUAUAUACAGUAGAGUCUCACUAAUCCAAGCCUCACUUAUCCAAGCCUGUGGAUAAUCCAAGCCAUUUUUGAAGUCAAUGUUUUCAAUAUAUCAAGAUAUUUUGGUGCUAAAUUCAUAAAUACAGUGAUUACAACGUAACAUUACUGCGUAUUGAACUACUUUUUCUGUCAAAUUUGUUGUAUAACAUGAUGUUUUGGUGCUUAAUUUGUAAAAUUAUAACCUAAUUUGAUGUUUAAUAGGCUUUUUCUUAAUCCCUCCUUAUUAUCCAAGAUAUUCGCUUAUCCAAGCUUCUGCCGGCCCGUUUAGCUUGGAUAAGUGAGACUCUACUGUAUAUAUAUAUAUAUAUAUAUAUAUAUAUAUAUAUAUAUAUAUGGAUGUGCGUCUGGGUCUGGGUAUGUGUAUGUAUGUAGCUGGAAUUCCACAUUCAAAAUAUCUUCUCCAACUUCCAAAUUAUAUUUCUCUACAUCUGGACUUAAUGUCUGGGGAAAACCUUUACCCUUGACCUUAACUACCACCAAUUCCUCAAUACUUUAGUUCCCAGACCACCAGACUUCGCCACAGCAACGCGUGGCCGGGCACAGCUAGUAUAAAAUAAACUGAUUGAAUCUGCAAAGAGGACUAAAGCAUUCGAGCAUUUGCAAAGCCAAGAAAACAUAAACUGCUUUUUAAAAAGCCAAUACUUUUACUUUGGCCCGAUUGCCAUGAGGAAGGCAUUGUGGGAGGUAGCUUCUUUUUUGGAAGGGGGUGGAUAAUUGACUGAUUUACUCUAAGCAAAUCUCUGUGCUGUGCUGUCAAAAAGUAAUGACCUUUAUGGAUGUGUCUUGAGUGUCAUCUCCAACUCAAUAGGGGAAGCAAUGGAUGUCACGAGAGUUUGGAUGGUGGCUUUCUGCCUGGAAGAAGGGGGUCAGUCUAGAAGUCCCUUGAUGGUGCCUGUAAUAUGAUUUCUGUUCCUGGGUUAUAAAUGUCAUUUCCUAUUUGGUUCUGUCAUAAAAAUAUGGCCAAAGUUUAUUACACUGUAAAAACUGUGUCUUUGCUCAAGGGACAUCAUCCUAUAGAUAGCACAUUUUGCUUUGUUGAGUCUCCACCAGUUUCUGCCACAAAAACAAAGUUUCUGGAGUAGAACAACUACUUUCAAAGUAAAGACGACACAAUGAAACAGGAAAUAACACUUUCAAACCAGGAACAGAUUUUCUUUAUUAUUAAAAAUGUUUAUUAUUAAAACCUUGAAAAUUUGCCAAAAAUCCAUGGAUAAGCCAAAUGUUCUGAAAUGUGGUGAGCUAACCGUGAUAAAUGUGUUCCACCACUGUAGCAAGUUUCACCAGAAUAACUCAAAAAAGAGGGAGAGAGAAGCCCCUGAAGUUUCCCCAAUGCCAGUGAUAUUUUCCCUUUUGCGCAUGCAUGACCACCAUUAACAAAGUACUUAUGAAGAUUCAUAAAUCUCAUUAGAGUUCUGAAACUUUUACCACAAACAUUCAGAAAGGACUUUAGAAACAAAGCGUCAGUGCCCCUUACUUUUGAACAUAGUUUAGAACUUUUUCAUGGAUCGCACAUGCCUAGUAUAUUCAUACAUAGUAUAAUGUAUUAUUCAAUAAAUAUUUAUUUAUAUAAUUAUUAA